rnacentral:rRNA from 1 species
UAGGGAAUCUUCGGCAAUGGACGAAAGUCUGACCGAGCAACGCCGCGUGAGUGAAGAAGGUUUUCGGAUCGUAAAACUCUGUUGUUAGAGAAGAACAAGGACGUUAGUAACUGAACGUCCCCUGACGGUAUCUAACCAGAAAGCCACGGCUAACUACGUGCCAGCAGCCGCGGUAAUACGUAGGUGGCAAGCGUUGUCCGGAUUUAUUGGGCGUAAAGCGAGCACAGGCGGUUUCUUAAGUCUGAUGUGAAAGCCCCCGGCUCAACCGGGGAGGGUCAUUGGAAACUGGGAGACUUGGGUGCAGAAGAGGAGAGUGGAAUUCCAUGUGUAGCGGUGAAAUGCGUAGAUAUAUGGAGGAACACCAGUGGCGAAGGCGGCUCUCUGGUCUGUAACUGACGCUGAGGCUCGAAAGCGUGGGGAGCAAACAGG